rnacentral:rRNA from 1 species
AUAUAAGUAAGCGGAGGAAAAGAAACUAAAUAGGAUUCCCUCAGUAAUGGCGAAUGAACAGGGAUUAGCUCAGCGUGGAAAUUGGGGCCUUGGGCCUUGAAUUGUAGUCUUGAGAUGUAUUGCCAACGUGGGCGCAUAUGUAUGCCUCUUGGGAAAGAGCAUCAACGAAGGUGAGAGUCCUGCUUGUCAUCUGCAGCCCCACGUGUACGGUGUAUGAUCUAAGAGUCACGCUCCUCGGAAUUGGAGCGCAAAGUGGGUGGUAAAUUUCAUCUUAAGUUGCAUAUUUGUUUGAGACCGAUAGCAAACAAGUACCAUGAGGGAAAGAUGAAAAGGACUUUGGAAAGAGAGUUAAAAGUGCCUGAAAUUGCUGGAAGGGAAGCGAACAGAACCAAUCUGCUUGGUGGGAUUGUUGCGUGCUGAUGUGAUUGCUUGUUGCUGAAAGCUCCGCUGCGCCAACAAGCGUUGAUCUGAGUGCGCGUGGUGGUUCUUGCCUUGUGUGUCAUCGCCAGUUCUCGAUAGAGGAAAACUCCAAGGGCAUGGAAAGUCCGCCUUUGGGUGUGCAAAUGUGCUUGGCAGAACUUAUUGGUGUACUGAUUCCUUGAGUUGAUGACCAAAUCGAUCUUUCCCACCCGUCU